rnacentral:rRNA from 1 species
GUGCAGUGCGGAUGCUUAAAUGCAGUCGAACGGUAACAGGUCUUCGGAUGCUGACGAGUGGCGAACGGGUGAGUAAUACAUCGGAACGUGCCUAGUAGUGGGGGAUAACUACUCGAAAGAGUGGCUAAUACCGCAUGAGAUCUACGGAUGAAAGCAGGGGAUCGCAAGACCUUGUGCUACUAGAGCGGCCGAUGGCAGAUUAGGUAGUUGGUGGGAUAAAAGCUUACCAAGCCGACGAUCUGUAGCUGGUCUGAGAGGACGAUCAGCCACACUGGGACUGAGACACGGCCCAGACUCCUACGGGAGGCAGCAGUGGGGAAUUUUGGACAAUGGGCGCAAGCCUGAUCCAGCAAUGCCGCGUGCAGGAUGAAGGCCUUCGGGUUGUAAACUGCUUUUGUACGGAACGAAAAGCCCUGGGUUAAUACCCUGGGGUCAUGACGGUACCGUAAGAAUAAGCACCGGCUAACUACGUGCCAGCACCGGCCGGUAAAAA